AAAUGAGUAGAAUUUCUCCUGCGUUUUCUUCUUUUUUUUUGCAUUUUCUUCAAUUUGGAUGUUUAGAAACCUAGAUAGCUACGUGCUCUGUUCUUGUGUGGUGGUACAUGGUCCUAUUAUUUGAAUAAGUUUGACCAAGGAUGUUAUUGUUUCGUAUACUUAUGUUUUGCAUCACUCAUAACCUCCAAGACUUCAAAAGUUCAAAUGCUGGAUGGUGCAGUGUUGCUUGUUGCAUGCAUGUAAUACCAAUGUUUGUCAACAAUUUAUUUUCAUUUCUUUUUAGGGAAGUGCUCCAUUGGCUCCGAUCCGUUCCUGAUGUUCUUGUUAAAUGCAACCCGUGAUUUCAAAGUCUUGAACAAUUGAUAUGUAACAGCUAAAGGAAAUAUUGCAGACUCCAUCCCAUCCCUCCCAAUAUCCAAAGUUUGAUUUUGUAAACAAACACAAAAAAAAUGCCCAUCUUGGAACUACCAUUUCUGGAAUACUAGUCCAUCAACACGUGCUUCUACACGGGCUAAUAUUUUGAAAAACUAUUGCAUUUGAAGAUUAUUCAUAAAUUAGACUCCUAGCUAAUGAUCAAAAUU
rnacentral:lncRNA from 1 species